rnacentral:rRNA from 1 species
UUCUUAUAAAAUUAUUAUAAGUAAAAUCUGCUCAAUGCCAAAUAAAUAGCCGCAGAAUUUUAACUGUGCUAAGGUAGCAUAAUCAUUUACCUUUUAAUUAAAGGUUUGUAUGAAUGAUUUAACAUUUAAGUAACUUUUUUAUUUCAUAAUAUUUAAAUUAAACUAAGCAUAAAAAUAUUCUUAUUAAAUAAAAAGACGACAAGACCCUAAUGAACUUAACUUAUGUUUAGCUGGGGAAGCUAACCAAAUAUAAUUUUGGUUUAAUUUUUUUUGAAACUCUCUGAUUUAACCAAUUUAAAUAAGUUACCAUAGGGAUAACAGCGUAAUAUUUUUUUAAAGCUCUUAUUAAAAAAAAAGAUUACGACCUCGAUGUUGAAUUAGAACUUCUAUAAAUCGCAAUAGUGCUAAAAGUAGGUCUGUUCGACCUUUAAAAUUCUACA